AGCGCUAUGGCCAAGUGGUUAAGGUGCUUGUUUAGCACGCGGAAGAAUCGUGAUUCAAGCCCUAGUGCAG